rnacentral:lncRNA from 1 species
UUUUAUUUUCUAAGUAUAUAUUGGCUUUAUCUAUUCUUUUAACUUUAAGUUGAUACAAUCCAUCUUUGGUCUUGUAUCUUCCUGAUUUAUUUAAUUAGUAAUGGAUUUCUUGAUGCAGUCUACAAUACCUUCGCAAUGAGCCUCCUCAGGUAUAACACAUCCUGAUUCUUCAUCACACUCUUCGUCUUCUAAAACGGAGUGUGGAGAACGGAGACUUCCUAGAGUCUGACAAGCUCUCAUCGUCUUGCAGUGUUCUGCUUCAUCGUCUCUUAUGUUCACAAACACGUCGUAUAAAUUCUCUGUCCGCCAACAACAUAAUCACAAUACAACGUUAGAGAGAGAUCUAUAUAAAAGCAACACCAAACUAAAGUCACAAACUGAUAACAAUGUUGCGUAUAUAUAACUCGUUACCUAUGACCGGCCUUCUAGUAUUUGGAGCUCUAGAUGUUUGGAACUCAUCUGCAGACAAAAAUAGAGAGACUCGUACUUAGUCAAAAAGGAAGACAAUCUGAGUAACUCAAGAACAAAAAGUUAAUCUUACCAAACAAGUACAUGUCGCUUCCGGUAUAGUAUUUUACGGCGAUGUCAGGUGGAGGCGAUUUCUUCAACUCAUCUGAUGAACAAUACGGAAUGUAAAGAUUGUUGAAGACUUUUGUGCAAAUUUAAAAACUAAUAUUGAAAAUGUUUUAUAAAAACAAUAACCUCCAUUGGUCUUGAGAAAUUUGUCAUAAGUCUCAAACGCAUGACUCUCCACACAUUCUGAAAAGUGAUCUGCAUCGCGGUAACACAUAGGUUGAUCAAUUCAUCACGACCAGAAGCAGUUUUGUAUGAUUAAUGGUUUUAAAAGCUAAAAAGAAACUUACAUGCCAUUCUUGGGCUAACGAUAUACAAGAACACGGUCAUGAAGUAAUAGAAGGUUGCUACGAUCUGGCCCAGAAGACGAUCAAACCACCAUGAGUUUCCACCUAGUUCCUGUGAUACAAAAUCCACGCAUUUCACAAUUUCUAACCAACUACUUAAGUUGAGAGUAUGAAACUAGUAGAAGAAUGGGAAGCUUGUGAAGUUCUCACUUCCAUGAUGAGCAAAUGAUGCAUCUCAUUCCAGCUCUCAGCAAAAUGGACUUUUAAAUAAUCAGCUCUCCUCCAAUCGAAUCCGUUAGCUGAGGAGUGCCGAUCACACCUUCCUCGAACUUAAUCUGGACGCGUUUGGGGCUACGGAUUUCGAAUUUGGCGUUGGUGCUGAUUGAGGUUGUGGCUAACGGACCAGCGAACAGAACAGAGUUCUCGACCGUGAAGUUGUCCGAAUCAAUAGUCUGUGAGAUCUCGUCGACUUUAACUAACGGCACGAUCCCUCGUGAAAGCAACGGGAACAAACCAACGAACGAUGUGUACCUGCGGAAAAAACAUAUAAAAUUAUAACGAACGAAACACAAAGGAUAAGAGUUUGUGUCGGGAAACUUACGCGAGGAUCCAUUUGCCGUUGAGAAGGAAGAGAGCAUCGGUGGGAGCUGGUGUAGGGUUCUUGGACUCGAGCUGUGUGAUUAGAUCUCCGAUCUCGGCUCUCGUCUCGCUCGAUGCGCUCAACCCUCGGUCUGUGCCGUACAACGAAUCCACCAGCGAUCUCUUGAGAGCCUCCGUUUCCUCCACAGAUUCGAUUGCUUCCUCCGCCAUCAAUAGAGCAGAUCCUCCUCCCUCACUCGUCUCCGGAUCCAACUCGUCUUCCGCAUCGAUGACUCUGACUCUGAAAUCAGAACGAGAAACGGCGAUUUCUCCGGGGGAAAACGACGGACGGCGAGUGAGCGCGCUCAUUGGCACCAGCGAAGACGGUGGCUUGGAGAGGGGUUUUGAGUUUGAUGGGCUUUGGACUCGGGUUUGGCAGGGGAAUUGGUUGAAGAACUGAACCGUCGCCAUUGUUUGUUUUUUUUAACUAUUCGAAAGAAACUUCGAAGCUAGUGAACAAGAAAAAUGUAUAUACUGAGUUCUUAUUUAUAGCCACCAUUACUGCUUAUUUGGCAAAUGGCGUAAUCUCAAACCAAAUCACGAGGGGUAAUAAAUGUUAGCCACAUAAAUUGGUAAGAUCAAAGGCACGAUAAUCAGACAGACAUCUUAAGCAUCGUGGUGUGAGGCGAUCAUUGUUUUGGGUUUUUUUUGGCUCUUGUUUAUGGCAAGAAAUCCAAUUUGACACAUGCUGACUAAUUUUUCAAAAUGUAGAAAGGAUUGAUUAGUAAGGGAUUCUGAAACUAGGAGUACAAUUUUACACACAGAUAAUCAUAAUCUGUAAUUACGAUGUGAUUCAAUGCUAUAAUUAGAUCUUCAAACUGAAAGUCAUAGAGCUCAUUAAAUUGUAUGACGUGUGUCACAUAAUGUCCUUUAAAUGCUUUUGUACUUUGUGAAAUUUUGAAGUAAACAAAAUACAUUGUUUCUCUGUGCACAUGGAAAGUACUAAUAAAUGAAAAAGAAAGUUUCUCUGCAAAAAACAAAAAAAAAAUAUUUAGGGAUAGACAGAAAUUAUUGUUUAGGAAAGUUGCUCUUUAUUAUCUCUAGUUCUCGACGAGAAUUAGGCGCCAUGCAAAUGACACGAUGCUAGAAACUUCGGCGGUGUACUAUUGUCUGGCUGUUUUCUGAUUAUCGCUCAGUUUGCCAACUACUUUGGUCCUUUAACGGUCGAGAUCUGCUACCAUGCGAUAAAUAUCUUGACAGCGUUUUUCUGGCGUUUCGGAAAAGCGCGAUAGAGAGGAAACGUCCAAACUAUUGGUUUAUUGGGCUUAAAAUUGACUUAAUGGGCCUUCUGAACAGAAUAUCUUGUAUUUUUUUGAAAUUUACAUCAUCUUCCCAUAACAAACGAAUGUAUAAACUGUGUUAGAUCGAGAAUUUACAGCCAUUCGAUUGGUUUCAAAAUAAAAUUGUUUCUAAAAUAUACAACCUAUUGAUAAAAAAAUCUAAAAAAUACUGAUGUAUCAACAAAAAAUAUUGUUAUCUGGCGUUUCGGAAAAGCGCGAUAGAGAGGAAACGUCCAAACUAUUGGUUUAUUGGGCUUAAAAUUGACUUAAUGGGCCUUCUGAACAGAAUAUCUUGUAUUUUUUUGAAAUUUACAUCAUCUUCCCAUAACAAACGAAUGUAUAAACUGUGUUAGAUCGAGAAUUUACAGCCAUUCGAUUGGUUUCAAAAUAUGUCUAAGAUCUCAAUGAUCGGACGGUUGCAAAGAGGACACGAGCCUCGGUUCAGCCACAGCUCUCUAGAGCAAACUCUGCAAAAAGUAUGUCCACAGGGGAUAAACGCAGCGCCUUUCUUUCUUCCCAUACACACGCAGCACACCGAAUCGUUACCCGUUAACGUCUCCAUCGACGCCGUUGAUAUCUCCGUCUCUCUCCCGUCAUCGUUCACUCUCUCCGCCGUCUCAUCAAGCAAUCUCAUCAACGACACUCUCCUCGGCGUCAUAUCAACCGCCGGUUCUCCCCGGUUGUAUCUCUCCGCCUCUAACGCCGUCGCGAGAUUCACACCCGAACCCGAUCCAGCGUCUGACCCGGGAACGAACUGGAUUUCACUUUGAAAAUCUUCGAUUUCGUCUUCUCUAGAGGUUGGACUGUGGAGAGUAGCACUAGUUGUUGUAUUGUUGAUGGUGGGCCCACAGCAUGCAAUGCAUUUGAAUCUCAACCGCUCUCUAAGAGUCCGCUUUCUCCUGGUGCGAUCGGCAACGCUCAUCUGGCGCCGGAGAAGAUCAAAAAACGUCGUCGUGCGGUGUGUCUCAGUCGUCAUCCUCUGAGUCGUUCCGAGAUCCAAAUCACUCAUUAUUCGACUCAGUUCUAGAAUCUCUUCUCUGAUAGUGGAACAGACGGAUCGGCUCCGCCACGAGAGGGUGAGAGAGAUUGUUUAUAAACUAGGGGGGGAUUAUGGCGGGAAAAUAUUUGUUCUUGAUUAAUCACCGUGGCGGAAAAAUAAUUUGAAAACUAAAAGAAAAGGGUAAAAAGAAAAAAAAAAAGGAAGAGUGAAAUUAAAGAGAGAGGCGCAUUAAUCAAGGCUUUUCCCACGUGAGAUGUCCCCAUAUACGUCGUCAUCUUCGCGCCAUAAUUUUCCCCAAUUACGGGAGGAGAGAGAGAGAGAUUCUAACGCUAAUACCAAUGAGAGCUUUUUAAGAAGAUGAUACGUUCAAUGAUUUUGUACUUGAAAAACAUUUACGAUCAUCAUCUUUAAAUCACAGUGUAAAAUGUUAUUCUAGAUAGUUCAAAGAAAUUAUAGACAAACCAACCACAUUUUAUUUAUUUAAUGUUUGCAUAAAACGAUGAAGUAACGCUAAAAAUGAUUUUAAAACAGUUAACUAGUUGAAUAAAGUAAUUUUACAUCAUAUAACCAUUUAAGAAUUCUCUCCCACAUACAUAACAAUGGGGAAUCUCACACUUUUCUUUUAUUUUCUAAGUAUAUAUUGGCUUUAUCUAUUCUUUUAACUUUAAGUUGAUACAAUCCAUCUUUGGUCUUGUAUCUUCCUGAUUUAUUUAAUUAGUAAUGGAUUUCUUGAUGCAGUCUACAAUACCUUCGCAAUGAGCCUCCUCAGGUAUAACACAUCCUGAUUCUUCAUCACACUCUUCGUCUUCUAAAACGGAGUGUGGAGAACGGAGACUUCCUAGAGUCUGACAAGCUCUCAUCGUCUUGCAGUGUUCUGCUUCAUCGUCUCUUAUGUUCACAAACACGUCGUAUAAAUUC